GCAGUCGAACGAGAGAAAGAAGCUUGCUUUUCUGAUCUAGCGGCGGACGGCCGUGUAACACGUGAGCAAUCUGCCUUUCAGAGGGGGAUACCGAUUGGAAACGAUCGUUAAUACCGCAUAACAUAAUUGAACCGCAUGAUUUGAUUAUCAAAGAUUUAUCGCUGAAAGAUGAGCUCGCGUCUGAUUAGCUAGUUGGUAAGGUAACGGCUUACCAAGGCGACGAUCAGUAGCCGGACUGAGAGGUUGAUCGGCCACAUUGGGACUGAGACACGGCCCAGACUCCUACGGGAGGCAGCAGUGGGGAAUAUUGCACAAUGGAGGAAACUCUGAUGCAGCGAUGCCGCGUGAGGGAAGAAGGUUUUAGGAUUGUAAACCUCUGUCUUCAGGGACGAAAAAAGACGGUACCUGAGGAGGAAGCUCCGGCUAACUACGUGCCAGCAGCCGCGGUAAUACGUAGGGAGCGAGCGUUGUCCGGAAUUACUGGGUGUAAAGGGAGCGUAGGCGGGAUCGCAAGUCAGAUGUGAAAACUAUGGGCUUAACCCAUAAACUGCAUUUGAAACUGUGGUUCUUGAGUGAAGUAGAGGUAAGCGGAAUUCCUAGUGUAGCGGUGAAAUGCGUAGAUAUUAGGAGGAACAUCAGUGGCGAAGGCGGCUUACUGGGCUUUAACUGACGCUGAGGCUCGAAAGCGUGGGGAGCAAACAGGAUUAGAUACCCUGGUAGUCCACGCCGUAAACGAUGAUUACUAGGUG
rnacentral:rRNA from 1 species